GCCUGCAAUACCCACUGACCCCCUCCCAGCAGAAGAGCUGGCAUCUGGGCAGAGCUCUGUUAGCCUCUGCCCCCAUUUCCCCUGUAUCAGAGCCUGACUUACCACGGGUUACCCCAGUGGAAGAGCUGGCAGCAGGGCAGAGCGCCGCUGGCCUCUGCCCCCCAAGCAACACCAGCAGUUUGCCUAGCUGCACCAGGGAGACCGAGAGUGCUGCGCUGUCCCACUACAAACUUGAACCUACAGACCAGUACCAUUUAUUGUGGGGGGGUUACUCUGCGUAUUUUUCUUUGUGGGUGGGCUGCCCGACUAAUCUAG